GACGAACGCUGGCGGCAUGCUUAACACAUGCAAGUCGAACGGACUGAUUCCUUCGGGAUGAAAGUUAGUGGCGAACGGGUGAGUAAUGUAUGAGCAACCUGCCUCUGUCAACGGGAUAACAGUCGGAAACGACUGCUAAUACGGUAUAUGACCACAGCACCGCAUGGUGCAGCGGUAAAAGAUUUUAUCGGACAGAGAUGGGCUCAUAUCCCAUUAGGUAGUUGGUGAGAUAACAGCCCACCAAGCCGACGAUGGGUAGCCGAGCUGAGAGGCUGAUCGGCCACAUUGGGACUGAAACACGGCCCAGACUCCUACGGGAGGCAGCAGUAGGGAAUUUUUCGUCAAUGGGGGAACCCUGAACGAGCAAUGCCGCGUGAGUGAGGAAGGUCUUC
rnacentral:rRNA from 1 species